UCCAGACUCCUACGGGAGGCAGCAGUGGGGAAUAUUGCACAAUGGGGGAAACCCUGAUGCAGCGACGCCGCGUGAGUGAAGAAGUAUUUCGGUAUGUAAAGCUCUAUCAGCAGGGAAGAUAAUGACGGUACCUGACUAAGAAGCCCCGGCUAACUAUGUGCCAGCAGCCGCGGUAAUACGUAGGGGGCAAGCGUUAUCCGGAUUUACUGGGUGUAAAGGGAGCGUAGGUGGCAGGACAAGUCAGAUGUGAAAGCCCGGGGCUCAACCCCGGGAGUGCAUUUGAAACUGUCCAGCUGGAGUGCAGGAGAGGUAAGCGGAAUUCCUAGUGUAGCGGUGAAAUGCAUAGAUAUUAGGAGGAACACCAGUGGCGAAGGCGGCUUACUGGACUGUAACUGACGCUGAGGCUCGAAAGCGUGGGGAGCAAACAGGAUUAGAUACCCGGGUA
rnacentral:rRNA from 1 species